rnacentral:rRNA from 1 species
UACGUAGGGGGCAAGCGUUGUCCGGAUUCAUUGGGCGUAAAGCGCGUGUAGGCGGCCAGGUAAGUCCGUUCUGAAAGCCCGGGGCUCAACCCCGGGAGGCGGAUGGAUACUGCUUGGCUCGAGUCCGGAAGAGGCGAGUGGAAUUCCCGGUGUAGCGGUGAAAUGCGCAGAUAUCGGGAGGAACACCAAUGGCGAAGGCAGCUCGCUGGGACGGUACUGACGCUGAGACGCGAAAGCGUGGGGAGCAAACAGG